rnacentral:rRNA from 1 species
AUGAACGCUGGCGGCGUGCCUAAUACAUGCAAGUCGAGCGAACGGACGAGAAGCUUGCUUCUCUGAUGUUAGCGGCGGACGGGUGAGUAACACGUGGAUAACCUACCUAUAAGACUGGGAUAACUUCGGGAAACCGGAGCUAAUACCGGAUAAUAUUUUGAACCGCAUGGUUCAAAAGUGAAAGACGGUCUUGCUGUCACUUAUAGAUGGAUCCGCGCUGCAUUAGCUAGUUGGUAAGGUAAUGGCUUACCAAGGCAACGAUGCAUAGCCGACCUGAGAGGGUGAUCGGCCACACUGGAACUGAGACACGGUCCAGACUCCUACGGGAGGCAGCAGUAGGGAAUCUUCCGCAAUGGGCGAAAGCCUGACGGAGCAACGCCGCGUGAGUGAUGAAGGUCUUCGGAUCGUAAAACUCUGUUAUUAGGGAAGAACAUAUGUGUAAGUAACUGUGCACAUCUUGACGGUACCUAAUCAGAAAGCCACGGCUAACUACGUG